UGAGGGGCACCGACGUCAACUACCCUGACAGGAAACCAAAACGUCAAUCUUUUCAACUUCCUAGACGCCGGAUCCCCUGAAACACCGACGUCUAUAGACGUCGCUUUCUGGCGCAACCGACGCCCAAUUUCAUUUUAAAUAAACCGCAGACCCUUCUAACCACUCAGUUUCUGAUCGCAUCUUCAUCUCUUCUCCUUUUUCUCCGCUUC
rnacentral:lncRNA from 1 species